rnacentral:rRNA from 1 species
UAAAUUGAGAGUUUGAUCCUGGCUCAGGACGAACGCUGGCGGCGUGCCUAACACAUGCAAGUCGAGCGAUGAAA